rnacentral:lncRNA from 7 species
GGGCGCGCGUGCCGGAGGGGCGGCGAUGUGGGGCGGCGGGAUGCUUGCUGUUAGUUGGUUGUACCCUUCACCGUGGUAAAAUCCACGAAUUCUGUUUGAAAUGAACCUUGCUCUCUUCUGGGCUCAGCCUGAGGCGUUAGAGCUAUAAGUGUGAGCUGUCUGCAGCGCUCGGGCAGCCGUGGGGAGCUCCGUCCUCCCAUCUCCUCACCUCUCCAAAAUGGCGCUGCGGGGUUUCACAGCGCUGUGCGGUGGAGGGAUGGUUGUUUUUUCCUCAUCUCCACAGAGUGCUUUGACGCGUUGCAAAACAGGCAAGAAAAAAGAUCGCCAAAAAUGUAACCAUCUGCAGAGGUCUCUGGGGCAGGAACAUUUUCUCUCCUCUUUAAAUGUGAUCAGCAGGACAAGAAGCUGAAGGUAUGACCAGAAGUCUUUCCUUCUCUUGUCGUUCAUUCACCUGAUAAAAUGAAUUUCAGCCUUCAAGCACAAAUAAAAGUGGAGCAAUACAGAUACAUCAGCCCAGAACCUCCCAGAACAUCCGACGUGUGGACUAGUACACCAGUAAAAGAUGAGGAGAUUUCCUGGUAAAUUUAUACAUUUCUUUGCUGAGAAUCCUGGAUCUCCUUUCCCUCUCAUGCACCUCAGUAUACAGCUUCCAACUCUUGUGCAUUUGCAGGCACAGGAGAUUAUUUCGUUUGGAACUGGAAAGAUUAAAACCUGGCAGAAAUGUGGCAAAACGAUCAGGAUUGCUGCUUAAAACAUCUGUCACGAAACUCAAAGAGGGUUUAAGACUGGACAGUGCAAAUCAAGUGAAAAUGUGGACGCAGCCCUGGGGAUUUGGACCUGAAUAAUACAGCCUCUUCCAUGAGCAAUACGAGUGCUGCUAUGGACAUCCAAAUCAGCCACCGCACGUGAGGAUCGGAUUAGAUUGAUAGUGGAUAUUUUUUCUGUAAGGAAGUGGAGUUCUGGCUUAAGAGAAGCAGCUGGAAAGUGUACAGAGAUGAUUCUCAUCUCAGAGAAUUACUUUCAGAGUGAUUUCCCUGGACAAUAUGUUCAAAUUAAACUGGGCAUGGAAGAAGAACACGUGCUAUUUCCAAUUAAAAAUAUCCGUAUUAAAUACCUAUGUGUACGUAAAGAUAUAUACAGAGAUACAAACGUGCUUACAUCCUGCGUGAUAUCUUAGCCUAUGCAAACGUAGGUCUGCUCACACACAACGGUUAAGCUAAGCUUACAUAUGGUGAUGAAGAGAAAAUCAUGGAAGAACUAGAAGAGUUACAGGGGUAGCAUCACCUACUCACCGGUGGUCUCGUAGUGAUGGCAGUGAAGUCUCGGUCUGCACAGCUGCCUCUCCUUGCCAACCUCCUGUGAUGUUCCAGUUGUAAUGACAGUGAGUGCCUUUCACCUUCUUUUAUACCUGCCCAAUAAUCACCACAGCACUUUGUGACUAAGACCUUUCCUCUUGUGUCAGUGGAAGGAGAGAGCUCGCUACUUCCAAUGAGAAUAAAUCUCAGAUGCUAAAAUGUUCAGCUGUGACUAAGGAGAAGAUGACGACUCUGUGGGAAGUGUGUUAUUCUUUUGCUGUCUCCUGUUUUGUUGUUGUUUGGGUGGGUUUUUUUGUUUGUUUGUUUGUUUUUUGAGACCUUUAUUCUGAUGCACUGCUAUGGAGCCCCGAGGUAAUGGAAAAGGGAUAUUCAUACUUGUUCAACAGUUGAGAUCCCUUGCUGUGUGUGCUUUGCUGUGUUCUUGGACUCAUGAAUAGGCCACAGCGUUGCACAGCUGGAAUCUAACUCAGCAAUACUGUAAGUGUGUAAUGCAAGUGACCAUGCAGUGUGAAUGGACAGUUACUUGCAGAGAACACGAGGAGUUUGUAAAUAAGAUCCCACUAGAUUUUAACGCUCAGCACAAAUCUCAUUUAAAUUGUUUGCACAGUAAGAUGUAUUUGUUUUUGAUUUUAUGAAGUGGGGAGAUAUGGAGGAGCCUUAUCAACUUAGUAAAUGAUAAAAACACAAGCAGCAGCUCAGGCAAGAAGCCAAAUUCUGAUGUGAUUUGAAACCAUAGGACUUACUGAGAUGCAAAUCUGGAUACUCACUUUAUGAUAUCUGGUCAGGUAAUUCAGUACAGUUUGGAUACUGAGCAUAUGGAUGGACUGGAGCACCAGGCUGAACCACUAGGUCUGUUUAAGAGGACCAGACCCUAUUUCUCCAAGCAAAUGAAAGUGAAUGUAUUUGUCUUCUCUGAGAAAAGAAUCCCUGGAAAAACUGAGGAUACCAUUUGCUCGGUGUUACCAUAAGCUACCCGUUCAUUUCCCAUAGGCACUGCCUCACCAUCCCAUUAAAUUCAGACUCAGGUGAGUGGAAAUGCAUUGUCUGAUAACACAGACAGGCCAGGCCCUGCUAGCAGUGUUCUCACCUCAUCCAUUCUUGCAGGUUCUGCGGACAUCAGAUCCUCUUUAUUAAAUUCCUCGUGACAGCUUGUUGUGAGCCCUGCUAUUUCUCAGCACUCAAAUAAGUGUUCCUGAUGACGUGAGUCACAAUUGUUAGUGUCACUCAUUAAAGUGUAUGAAGUCUGUCACCAAUUAAAAAUGACAUUU